AUUGAACGCUGGCGGCAGGCCUAACACAUGCAAGUCGAGCGGAUGAUUGGAGCUUGCUCGUGGAUUCAGCGGCGGACGGGUGGGUAAUGCCUAGGAAUCUGGCUUGUCGUGGGGGAUAACGUCCUGAUACGGGCGCUAAUACCGCAUCCGUCCUGUUGGCGCAAUUGGGUGGUCUUGGGACGUCACGCCAUCAGAUUAGCGUAGUUCGGACUAGCUAGUUGGUGGGGUAAAGGCCUACCAAGGCGACGCAGCGUAACUGGUAUGAGAGGAUGAUCAGUCAGCCUGGAACUGAGACACAGUCCAGACUCCUACAGGAAGCAGCAGUGGAGAAUAUUGGACGAUGGGGGAGAGGCUGAUCCUGCCAAGCCGGGUGUGUGAAGAAGGACUUCGGAUUGGAGAGCACUUUAAGUUGGGGGGAAGGGCAGUAAGUUAAUCCCUUGCUGUUUUGACAUUACCAACAGAAUAAGCACCGGCUAACUUCGUG
rnacentral:rRNA from 1 species